rnacentral:ncRNA from 2 species
CUACGAUAAUGGCAAACUCGUUGAAAGGCGAGGACGCAAAGCUAUGGGUCUAAGGGUGUUCACCUAUGACUGCCAGGUUGCCGAA